GGAAAACGCGUCACGUGACGACUGGCCCCGCCUCUUCCUCUCGGUCCCAUAUUGAACUCGAGUUGGAAGAGGCGAGUCCGGUCUCAAAAUGGAGGUAAAACCGCCGCCCAGUCGCCCCCAGCCCGACUCCGGCCGUCGCCGUCGCCGCCGGGGGGAGGAGGGCCAUGAUCCAAAGGAACCAGAGCAGUUGAGAAAACUGUUUAUUGGUGGUCUGAGCUUUGAAACUACAGAUGAUAGUUUACGAGAACAUUUUGAGAAAUGGGGCACACUCACAGAUUGUGUGGUAAUGAGAGACCCCCAAACAAAACGUUCCAGGGGCUUUGGUUUUGUGACUUAUUCUUGUGUUGAAGAGGUGGAUGCAGCAAUGUGUGCUCGACCACACAAGGUUGAUGGGCGUGUAGUGGAACCAAAGAGAGCUGUUUCUAGAGAGGAUUCUGUAAAGCCUGGUGCCCAUCUAACAGUGAAGAAAAUUUUUGUUGGUGGUAUUAAAGAAGAUACAGAAGAAUAUAAUUUGAGAGACUACUUUGAAAAGUAUGGCAAGAUUGAAACCAUAGAAGUUAUGGAAGACAGGCAGAGUGGAAAAAAGAGAGGAUUUGCUUUUGUAACUUUUGAUGAUCAUGAUACAGUUGAUAAAAUUGUUGUUCAGAAAUACCACACUAUUAAUGGGCAUAAUUGUGAAGUGAAAAAGACCCUUUCUAAACAAGAGAUGCAGUCUGCUGGAUCACGGAGAGGUCGUGGAGGUGGAUCUGGCAAUUUUAUGGGUCGCGGAGGGAACUUUGGAGGUGGUGGAGGUGGUGGCAGCAGAGGUAGUUAUGGAGGAGGUGAUGGUGGAUAUAAUGGAUUUGGAGGUGAUGGUGGCAACUAUGGCGGUGGUCCUGGUUAUAGUAGUAGAGGGGGCUAUGGUGAUGGUGGACCAGGAUAUGGAAACCAAGGUGGUGGAUAUGGUGGAGGUGGAGGAUAUGAUGGUUACAAUGAAGGAGGAAAUUUUGGCGGUGGUAACUAUGGUGGUGGUGGGAACUAUAAUGAUUUUGGAAAUUAUAGUGGACAACAGCAAUCAAAUUAUGGACCCAUGAAAGGGGGCAGUUUUGGUGGAAGAAGCUCGGGCGGUCCCUAUGGUGGUGGUUAUGGAUCUGGUGGUGGAAGUGGUGGAUAUGGUAGCAGAAGGUUCUAAAAACAGCAGAAAAGGGUUGAAUGAGAACCCUACUUGCCUAAAUGAGGAAUGUCUUUCCUACCAUCUAAAAUACGAAGGUUUUUGGCUGGGUAAGGUUUGUAGUUGACAGUAAAACCUGAUGACCCCAAAAAAAAA
rnacentral:lncRNA from 1 species